UGGCUCCGAACAUAAGAAACUACCAGAACAGCUACCAGUAGUUCUUCAGUCUUGUCAGGUAGAUCUGGUGAAAGAUGGUGGUCACACAUAUUUUAUCAGGUUUCAUGAUAGCAUGGAUGCCUAUGCUGAGCAGCGAGCAAUGGAUGCUUUUGUCUUGGCAGUUGUAGUGGAUGGACAUCGGCGGAGACAA